CUUCGACGUAAGGUGGCGUACGAGCAGAGCGGAGUGAAGUCGGGUGUCACUACAGAGUCGUCGUGUCGAGCGGACGUGUACUGCCGUUCUAGUCGGGCAGUCUACCGCGAACCAUCGUCGUGAACGGACGUGUCGAAUAAUUACGAUCGGAACGUGGAGUGCUAUAGUCGCUCACCUAUAACUUGUAGGGACGUCAAGAAAGUGUGAUCGGAAAAGAGCACCUAGCAAGUACGUUCACAUGUCCCGAUGAUUCGGUCCGAAUGUUGGAUCCAUGGGUGGUGGAGGGCCCCUUCGCGCUAACGUCCUUAGGCGCGCUAGAUAACGAGAGACUGUGUAACCGUUACGAAUACCGUGACGUUGCCGUGAGUGUGUACCUUAUGCUGUGACUUUAUUUAAUCGUGAUACAAAAACUAUGUGGAAGUAAAUAAAAUGAUUGUGAUACUGAUGACGGCCAUCAUUGUCUUCUAACGCCCACCCUCCAUUCUGAUGAUGAUGUUACGACCCACCCCGACACCCACUGAUACGACAUCAGAAGUGGGAUUAGUGAACUUGGAUGAAGACAACGUGAUGCGACGUUCACAACAAGAAAAUGCAAGUUUUGAUUAUCACAAUCACAAGAAGAUUAUGAUCAUUAUCACAUUCGUGUGACCACGUGAUGAAGAUGUAGUCUACAGCCAUGCCUGAAUUUGGAGAUGGACCUGAAUUUGAAGUGACCUGGACCUUGUUAAUGAUCGACAUCACUACAUGCCGUAAGAUAUGAUGGCGUGAACAUCACAAUAUUUCCAUGCUGUGUGCUGUCGAGUUUGAAAAUGAUGGAACCUGAAAUUGAAAACUGUUAUUACGGUGAGUCGUUUUCAUACUGGAACCUUAUUGUUGUUGACUUUAUUGCUAUGUGAAUUUCCGUUUCUAAUAAUGAGGAAAUUGUUUAUUUUAAAAAACAAAAUUGACGAGACACAUUGUGUCAAUCCGUGUCAAUCACACCGCGUUUUCCAAUCUGUUUUCAUCACCGUCAAAUCUUUGUAUUUUGGUCUAAAAAUAUUUCGAAUUGGUGUAGAUACGCUUAAUCUGCGUGGUUAAAGAUGUAUUUUUGCACUCCGAGGAAAAAGAAAUUAAUCAUGACAUGAUAAUUAAGUCUUGUUAAAUAACGUGUUUUGAAAUCUACUGUCAUUCAUCAAAUGUUUCAAUAUUCAAUAUUCUUUAUUUGUAAUCUUUUUUAAACCGAUUGAAAGUCGUGUGAAUACAAUAAUACAGUGGAUUAUUUUGUUUCAUGUCAUAACUUGACACGUGGUUCGGCAACUGGUGUAUUGCAAGCGGCUAUGCAAGUGGCGCGGGCUGAGCUGUAGUCGUGUAUAGUGACGACAUCGCGGCAACGCGUUGUAUAUCAGCCGGACUUGCUGCGCUAGUGCUGUUGAAGAUCUAAACCAUGUUACAAGACCAGUGGUUGAUCUUUUAUUGGAAAUUCUUAUAGGUCCUGGUGAGUCGUAUCUGUUUUAUUUACCUGAUUUGAAAGAUGGGAAGUUUUAAUAGGAUACAAACGAAUAUAGUGCAGAAAGUAAUGAAGUGAAGUAAACAUUGCGAAGUAAAAUUAUUUGGAUUAUUAUUAAAUGAAAUAGGCUUAGAAAAUGCCCGAAACAGUAAAUCAUUAGUGAGAAAAUUAGAGCAAAAUAUUCUAAAUGAUGAUCAUACCGAAUCGGUAAUUGUGUAAGUGCCGUAAUAUUUCCUCGAGGUGUUGGUCGCUACAUUGUGACUUUAUGACUUGUGUGUGUGUGUGAGAGAGCCAGGGUGCUCUGUGGUUUUGUGAUCGUGGAUCAUGGUGGCCAUCCCGGGAGGGGAUGUUGUGACUUAUGACUGUUUUGUAGCGAAACCACAGUUUGGGGAGGAAUAUUACAGUCUGUUGUGCUUUGCAGUAGAUGUGUAAUGUUGGUUGAUUUAACUGAGUAAUGAAAGCUAUGAUUGACCUGUUUCGGAGCAACUCUGAUAGGAAGCUGCGCACUUGUAGUGUUCGGGGCUGCAGCCACUUUUGUGCUGCUCGUCUUAGAAACUACAGGUAUGCGGUCGAAGCCCGGAUUUCAUGUUGACUUUGUAUUUGGUCAUGACAUUGUACCUGAAUCUAAGUCAUGUUGAACUCCGGUAGAAUUAGGCAAACUACACGAAUUAGAAAUUAGUGAUGUAGAAGAAAUUGUGUAACCCAUUGACCUGUUUCGGAGCAACUCUGAUAGGUAGCUGCGCACUUGUAGUGUUCGGGGCUGCAGCCACUUUUGUGCUGCUCGUCUUAGAAACUACAGGUAUGCGGUCGAGGCCUGGAUGUCAUGUUGACUUUGUAUUUGGUCAUGACAUUGUACCUGAAUCUAAGUCAAGUUGACCUCCGGUAGAAUUAGUCGAACUACACAAAUUAGAAAUUAGUGAUAUAGAAGAAAUUGUGUAACGCAUUGACCACUAUUCUACCAACUAAAAUGUAAAGUUUGUGUGCUAGCUGUGUUGAGAUAUCGUCACUUGGUGUAAGUGGCAUGAGUUGCUGUCGCUCGAUUUAGGUGGCAGUGACGACUGUGUUGAGAUAUCGUCACUUGGUGUAAGUGGCAUGAGUUGCUGUCGCUCGAUUUAGGUGGCAGCAAUAACUGUGUUGAGAUAUCGUCACUUGGUGUAAGUGGCAUGAGUUGCUACAGCUCGAUUUAGGUGGUAGUGACGCCUGGUUGUAAGAUAUCGUUACUCAGCUGAUUUUAGUGUAAAGAGUAAUUGGAUUUUCAAGUUUGGUUGUUUAUAGUGUGUGAAUACUGGUCAAUGGUCCGGUAGUGUUAGUUGAUGAUUUAUCAUGAUGUAAUGUGAGCUCAUGUAGAGUCACAAGUAGAGCUCAUGUAGAGUCGCAAGUAGAGCUCGUGUAGAGACACAAGUAGAGCUCGUGUAAGAGUCACAAGUAGAACUCGUAUAGAGUCACAAGUAGAACUCGUGUAGAGUCACAAGUAGAGCUCGUGUAGAGUCACAAGUAGAGCUCGUGUAGAGUCACAAGUAGAGCUCAUGUAGAGUCACAAGUAGAGCUCAUGUAGAGUCACAAGUAGAGCUCAUGUAGAGUCACAAGUAGAGCUCAUGUAGAGUCGCAAGUAGAGCUCAUGUAGAGUCUUUAGUAGAGCUCAUGUAGAGUCUCAAGUAGAGCUUACGUAGAGUCACAAAAAGAACUCGGGCAGAGUCCUAUAUAGUCUCAUGUUAGGUCAGGAAUGACCGAGCGAACUUGGAUACUGUGCUGUGGUAUAUUGUUUCAGAUUAACACACGAGGACGUGUGUCACGCAGGAUGGCCGUGUCGGAGUUAGUUAUGAAUUAAGAAGAGAAAUUGAUCAAAUCGGAAAAUAAAAUGAAGUUACAUCACUUCCGUCAUAAAGUUGCAACGCUUCGACGUAAGGUGGCGUACGAGCAGAGCGGAGUGAAGUCGGGAGUCACUACAGAGUCGUCGUGUCGAGCGGACGUGUACUGCCGUUCUAGUCGGGCAGUCUACCGCGAACCAUCGUCGUGAACGGACGUGUCGAAUAAUUACGAUCGGAACGUGGAGUGCUAUAGUCGCUCACCUAUAACUUGUAGGGACGUCAAGAAAGUGUGAUCGGAAAAGAGCACCUAGCAAGUAGGUACGUUCACAUGUCCCGAUGAUUCGGUCCGAAUGUUGGAUCCAUGGGUGGUGGAGGGCCCCUUCGCGCUAACGUCCUUAGGCGCGCUAGAUAACGAGAGACUGUGUAACCGUUACGAAUACCGUGACGUUGCCGUGAGUGUGUACCUUAUGCUGUGACUUUAUUUAAUCGUGAUACAAAAACUAUGUGGAAGUAAAUAAAAUGAUUGUGAUACUGA